rnacentral:rRNA from 1 species
GACAGAGGGUGCAAACGUUGUUCGGAAUUACUGGGCGUAAAGCGCGUGUAGGCGGCUCGGAAAGUCGGAUGUGAAAGCCCUGGGCUUAACCUAGGAAGUGCAUUCGAAACUCCCGUAGCUUGAGUUCUGGAGAGGAAGGCGGAAUUCUCGGUGUAGAGGUGAAAUUCGUAGAUAUCGGGAGGAACACCAGUGGCGAAGGCGGCGAUCUGGGCAGAUACUGACGCUGAGGUGCGAAAGCGUGGGGAGCAAACAGG